ACCGUACUCCUACGGGAGGCAGCAGUGGGGAAUAUUGGACAAUGGGCGAAAGCCUGAUCCAGCCAUGCCGCGUGUGUGAAGAAGGUCUUCGGAUUGUAAAGCACUUUAAGUUGGGAGGAAGGGUUGUAGAUUAAUACUCUGCAAUUUUGACGUUACCGACAGAAUAAGCACCGGCUAACUCUGUGCCAGCAGCCGCGGUAAUACAGAGGGUGCAAGCGUUAAUCGGAAUUACUGGGCGUAAAGCGCGCGUAGGUGGUUUGUUAAGUUGGAUGUGAAAUCCCCGGGCUCAACCUGGGAACUGCAUUCAAAACUGACUGACUAGAGUAUGGUAGAGGGUGGUGGAAUUUCCUGUGUAGCGGUGAAAUGCGUAGAUAUAGGAAGGAACACCAGUGGCGAAGGCGACCACCUGGACUAAUACUGACACUGAGGUGCGAAAGCGUGGGGAGCAAACAGGAUUAGAAACCCGGGUAGUCCUUGAC
rnacentral:rRNA from 1 species